CUUUCCGCCCUGAGUCAGUGCAGCAGGUGUCCAGCAGCCUUUGGAAGGUUCUGGAAGGCUCUCUGCAGUGCUGGCAGUUGCUGCUGCAUUUGGAGGCUGCACUUGCAGCCCGGUGCCUGCGUUCUGGCUGUGACGGUCAUGAAGAAAAAUCUGUGUGCAUUUGCAAACAUGUAAUCACAUGCUAAUUUCUGUCCACUUUUAUUGUAAGCCUGCCAGGCUGCACAAGUGAAGCCCUCAGGAAAGAGGUGAAAAUAGAUGAGACCCGCUGAAACUCCUUUUGCGUUCUCUUUCCUGCAGAAAGAGUACAACGUGUACAACUGCCCCUUCACAAAAGCUUAUCUGUCUAAGCAGGACCCAUUGAGUCAAACCACAGCGCUCAUUAGGAGGUGGGUACCAGGGCCACGUCUGCCCUGCUGGGAGAGGAUCAGCAAAUGAGCAGCGAGGAAGAGUCGGCAUGCUAGGAAACAGUGUCAUGUCCUCUGCUGGCAGAGGAAGGUUCUCACCCGAUUUUGAGGCUCAAAGUAAUGAAAACUUGGCUGCAAAGCAUUCUCUGCAAAGAGGUUUCUCACUAAGUCAUGCUAACCAAGAAGACAAAGUACCUGCUUCUGAAAUCUUUGAUCCUCUUGAAGUUACUGAAGAGCCUCAGGUACAGAUUUUAAAACAUCAUCUAGAGAUACCACAUCAAGCCAAAGUCACAUCAAUACCACUAUCUUUUUUCCCAUCUGAACUACAGCAACUCCUUGUAGCUGCAGCGAGAAGGGUCUCUGAAGCAAGGCAAGCUACAGAAACACAAUCUGUAAUUUACAUAUGGCCAGUAACAGAGAUGCAAAAGAGUUCUAUAUCCAUCUGUUACAAUUUUAUGAAGUCUUUAACACCAAGCAGCCCAGACUUAACAAGACACUGUUCUAGUCCUGAUGUAACUGAAGAUGAGACAUGUUCCCAAAUAACCCCAGUGAAAGAGCUUGUGCAAGAAGAGCCAGAUGGAGAGUCAGUAAGAUUCUAUCCUCUUAUUUUAAAGUCAUCUAACAGUGCUGUUUCAGAAAUUUUAAUGUCACUCACCAAUAUCAAGAAUAAGGAUUGUAUGUUAACACUUUCAUCUGUUAGUCCUAUUGGAGAAGAACCAGAAAUUCCUCUCUUUAAGGGAAAUGCUCUAAUGAUCUAUAAUGAUCAAGUCUAUGUUCUACAUGUAAUGAGGCAUGAAGACCUGGCAGCAGAAAUGAAAAUAUCUGGCCACCAUAUGUUGUUUAUGAAGACUGUAAUUUGCCUCAUUAUAUGUUGUUCUGUCCAUAAACUAACAUUCCAAGAUUCACAUCCACUGCUGUUGAGAGAAGAUGCUGUGAAACAGAACAUCAAAUGUCUUACAGCCUGUGCUACCCCCACAGCCCAAAAGAAAACAUCAAAUGAAAUGCAUUUCUCUUCACACAAGAGGACUACAAUCUCUCAUCCCGAGAACUGCUCCCAUCUUGCUGGGAAAAGGCAGCAGGUGGCAACCCAUGAUGAUCAGUUCCUCAGGAAGACUACAUUCUCAUCCAAAGAAGACUUUCAAAAAAGAAAUUAUGAAGAAGCAUGUCAAGAUGAAGACAAGGAAAUAAGAAAGAAAUUUGGUCUUGUUAAAGGUCUAAGAGUUGUUCUCAACAGGCUAAGUGCCUCUGAGCUUAGGAAGUUGACUGCCAAACCUUCUGCACUUAAAAAGAAAAGUAACCACUAUGACAGAGAACUGUGGGAAGUGCCAUACAUACAUAGCUCUCUGUAGACAAACAUGGAGUAUACUUCACCUUGAAGUAGUCAUUACAUAGCAUUAGUAUAAAUUUCAAAAUUUCUGAGCAUUUAACCCCAAAACAUAAAACAUUUUCUGUUAGAGAACUUCACCACAGCUACUUCUAAAAUGUCAGGAUCUAGUGCUUCCCCCCUCCCCCCUCCCCUGAGUACUUUCUCCAAAAACUGCAGAUAAAAUGCCAGCUACUGCUGAAGUCUUUUCUGACUCUGCCUUCUCGUUGGCACUCAUACAGCUGCAAUGGAAAGUAGAAAAAGUGCCUGCUGACCUCUUACUGACAGCAGCGGUCUGCAGGCUGUCUGUGCCAACCUGUGUCUUGUAGGCAGGAGCAGGAAGCUCUUCCUACCUGUGCUGGGCUCCUUCUGGUUUGAGCAUUGCUCUUCAUUUCAAGUGAAGGUGCCAGAAGCACAAGCCACAUGUUCGUAGUCGUUGACCUGCUUUUGAGAAAGUCUUCCCCUAUGGCUUUGCUUAGAAGUAUUAUUUGGCAGUUUUGCCUGGUAUCAUCAGAGCCUCUGGGAAUGGGUGUUUGUUUUCUCUAAUCCCUGACAUUUUUGAACUCUCAGUUCAGAUUGACCUUUUGUGUCCAUUUUGUAUUUUUCUACAACAAAGCUCUUAAGAUUUUUUUUAGCACGUAGACUGGGCAUAUAUUUCCAGAAUCCUCUAUCUUUUCAGUAUACCUUUUUUCAAGUUGUUACUGAUAAAUUGAUGAUCAAUAAUAAAUCAGCAUUUCUCCUCAAUCUGCUUAUUAUCUCAUAUCCAGCACUAACCUUCCAUUUCCUGUCAACUGGAUUUUAAGCCAUCAUCAUCCAGCGUUUCCAAGAUCUUUGAGAGUGGUCUGUUUUUAUUGUCUCUGAAGGAAGCAUCAUUGGUGUACUCUCAGCAUUCAUGACAAUAUACUAUGUCUUCUUGUGGAAUAUUUUGAGGUCAGGUAGAGCAAAACUCUCAAAAGAAUAUAUUAAAAAAACACAGGUACAACUCCUGGAUUAAGGUGUUUUUUUUUUUUCUCCUUUGUACCAGUACUUAAAUGAAAGAAAUAAAAUGAGUAUUGGCUGUCAUUUCUCCUAAAAUUUCCUUUCCAGUAAAUAUGCCAAGGCAGACCCUUAGGAUAAUCAAAUUUUCAUGGUGUUUCUCCAUUUAUACAUGUUAUAAUUUCUCAGCAUGUGUUCCAGAAAUCAAAUAAGAUCAAAUACCUUGCAAAAUAUUUCAUUUUUGGCUGUUUUAUACAAAUGCUUCCACUUGCUGGACUGCUAUUGAGAAGUUUCAGUUACACCAGUGUUAUUAAUAGUUCUCAUUAACCUGAAUUGUUAUUGUGACUGCUUUUCAAUAUUUUCUGCUGCCAUGUCUUUUCCUUUGCAGAUUACAUUCAUUUUAUUACAUUCUGUCAUUUCGCAGAACACAGACUGUGUUCUUUGCAUGUAGAAUCAAUCAAGUAAUAAAAAGAUGCUACAUCUUC